rnacentral:rRNA from 1 species
CCUACGGGAGGCAGCAGUGGGGAAUAUUGCACAAUGGGGGAAACGCUGAUGCAGCGACGCCGCGUGAGUGAAGAAGUUUUUAGGUAUGUAAAGCUCUUUCAGCAGGGAAGAAAAUGACGGUACCUGAUUAAGAAGCACCGGCUAACUACGUGCCACCAGCCGCGGUAAUACGUAGGGGGCAAGCGUUAUCCGGAUUUACUGGGUGUAAAGGGAGCGUAGACGGCAGCAAUAGUCUGGAGGGAAAUGCCGGGGCUUAACCCCGGAACUGCCUUGGAAACUGUGCAGCUAGAGUGCAGGAGAGGUAUGUGGAAUGCGUAGUGUAGCGGUGAAAUGCGUAGAUAUUAGGCGGAACACCAGUGGCGAAGGCGGCUUACCGG